rnacentral:rRNA from 1 species
CUCGUAGGCGGCUUGUCGCGUCUGCUGUGAAAACGCGGGGCUUAACUCCGCGCUUGCAGUGGGUACGGGCAGGCUUGAGUGUAGUAGGGGAGACUGGAAUUCCUGGUGUAGUGGUGGAAUGCGCAGAUAUCAGGAGGAACACCGAUGGCGAAGGCAGGUCUCUGGGCUAUAACUGACGCUGAGGAGCGAAAGCAUGGGGAGCGAACA